GGACCUGUGGUGCAGCCUGGAGUGCACGCCGCCCUGUCAAGGCGGAGGUCGCGGGUUCAAAUCCCGUCAGGUCCG
rnacentral:tRNA from 1 species